GAUAAGGGAAGGCAACUUUAUUAUCACUCGCGUUCGUCCGGGUUCAGGACGAUCGCGUCCCCUCCUUUGUUAGCAGAACGCGACUGUCCUUAACGCGUAAGGUAUGGGGGAUUAAAACCUUCUCCAUUCAUCGCGUACCCUCCUUUGUUUAGAGAACGCGAGCGUCCCAAACGGGUCCCCAAUGAAAGGGGCAAGAAUGGGGGGAUUAUCUUACAUAAUAUUACAUAAUUCUUGAGAGGAAUAGGGUUUCUAUUUGUCGCGCUAAGAGGGGCAAGAACUCGUUUAAUCACCUUGCCAGUAAAAUUCCUUCCUUCCAGCGAUCGGAAGGCUUUCCCCAUUUUAAAUGAAAUGUAAAUGAAAUGAAAACUGUGUGAAUCGCAAUCAAUGCAGAGGUCCGUUGUUUGAGGUUGAGAGAGAGAGAGGUAGAGGGACGUAGACAUGCAUGUUUUGUUCUUUGAAAUAUUUACUCUACGAGACUGUUAUGUAUUUUUUUAUAUGUCAUCUAUUUUGGAGGUUUGGUCUUAUGAAAACUGAUUUUGAAUGAGUGAUACAAGGCCGCGGCCGCCUUGUAGUUGUAGCGACCAGCAGCGCUAGAACAAUUUAUAAUUUGCAUACCCUGUGCCGCCCAUUGAACCCUGGGAAGGGUAAUAGACAUUCUGACAUUUCUAUCGAUCUUUUCGUGGGUACAAUGAAUAGGCACAAAUGAAGUACUAGAAAGUUGGAUUGAUAACCGUAUCUUGGAAAUGUUGUAAUCAACACCCAAGUUCAGACAGACCGCGAUAUUUACGAUUGUCAGCCUACGCCUUUGUUCUGAGAGCGCCGACUUGUGGCGGGAAUGUCAUAAUAAAUCUGUCAUUAUUUGUAUGUCGUUGUUGCGACUGGACAAUGGCGCACUGUAUAGGUCGAUUGCUUAUCUGAAAUGAGGCGAGUCAUGUCAAUCAACACCAAAGUUCCAAAACAUCGCGUAUAUUAAACAUCGUUACGCGCCUUCGUAAUGCACACCCUCCCCAAUUUAAAUGCAAUUCCGAGAAAAAAAUAUAUGAUAAAAUUAAGUUUGUAUUUUAAUAAUUGAAGAAAAAAAGAAGAAAAAAAAAAUUAUUUUAAAGAGGUGGAAUUACAAAAUUAGAGGGGGCAGAUAAAGUAGGUGAAGAAAAAAAAAAUUAAGUUUCAAGAUAAAGAAAUCGGGAGAUGUAUUGAAGAAUGAAUUCGCAGUUU